AUUGAACGCUGGCGGCAUGCCUUACACAUGCAAGUCGAACGGUAACAGGCCGCAAGGUGCUGACGAGUGGCGAACGGGUGAGUAAUGCAUCGGAACGUGCCCAGUCGUGGGGGAUAACUGCUCGAAAGAGCAGCUAAUACCGCAUACGACCCGAGGGUGAAAGCGGGGGACCGUAAGGCCUCGCGCGAUUGGAGCGGCCGAUGUCAGAUUAGCUAGUUGGUGGGGGAAAGGCCUACCAAGGCAACGAUCUGUAGUUGGUCUGAGAGGACGACCAGCCACACUGGGACUGAGACACGGCCCAGACUCCUACGGGAGGCAGCAGUGGGGAAUUUUGGACAAUGGGCGCAAGCCUGAUCCAGCAAUGCCGCGUGCAGGAAGAAGGCCUUCGGGUUGUAAACUGCUUUUGUCAGGGAAGAAAUCUUCUGGGCUAAUACCCCGGGAGGAUGACGGUACCUGAAGAAUAAGCACCGGCUAACUACGUGCCAGCCGCCGCGGUAAAAC
rnacentral:rRNA from 1 species